GUCUAUGGCCAUGCUACCUUGAAGUGCCUGAUCUUGUUGAUUUCAGAAGUGUUGGGUUUGGUUAGUACUUGAAUGGAAGACCACCCAAGAAUACUGGGUUCUGUAGGCA
rnacentral:rRNA from 1 species